rnacentral:lncRNA from 10 species
GAUGGAAAGAGGUCUCUUGAAUUUACCAGGAUAUACUGCUAAUCUGGCAACACCAAGAAGCACUGAGCACCUAUCUUCUUUAAAAUGCCUAGGGAAUUCUUGCAGGAAGUAACUCUAGAAUGAGACCUGAAGUUGUCAAGUAGAAAAGGGGUGCGGCUGAAGAACUGCUGUAGAGGCAGACAGAACAGCUGUGCAGGAAGUGAGAGCAAGGAACACCUUUGGAAACCCCUGACCAGGGUAAAGCAAGGAUCCCAACGCACUGCGAACAGCUGGGUGACGGAGUACCGUUUACAUCUUCACAGAAGUUUUUCACCAUUUCUCCAAUCAUUCUGUGUUUUCCAGCAAGUUUCUAUAGAAGUAUGCUCCAACUCACUCCGUCGUAAGCACGGCUUCUCUCCUGAGUAUGCUAAACUCCCCAAACGCAGCAACAACACAGCGUUCCGAUCUUUGGAAUUAAUAAGCAGUGAAACGUUUGAAACUGAACAAAAAUUUUUACAGCUACUGAACUUCCUGUAAGGAAGGCAUGCUUAGUAAACUGCACUCUUUCU